CAGUCAGGUUCCUGGCUAAAGUUCAGCUAAGAGAUGGACUUUAGAUAAAGCCAGACUGUAA
ensembl:miRNA